UCCUACGGGAGGCAGCAGUGGGGAAUCUUCCGCAAUGGACGAAAGUCUGACGGAGCAACGCCGCGUGAGUGAUGACGGCCUUCGGGUUGUAAAGCUCUGUUAAUCGGGACGAAAGGCCUUCUUGCGAAUAGUUAGAAGGAUUGACGGUACCGGAAUAGAAAGCCACGGCUAACUACGUGCCAGCAGCCGCGGUAAUACGUAGGUGGCAAGCGUUGUCCGGAAUUAUUGGGCGUAAAGCGCGCGCAGGCGGAUCAGUCAGUCUGUCUUAAAAGUUCGGGGCUUAACCCCGUGAUGGGAUGGAAACUGCUGAUCUAGAGUAUCGGAGAGGAAAGUGGAAUUCCUAGUGUAGCGGUGAAAUGCGUAGAUAUUAGGAAGAACACCAGUGGCGAAGGCGACUUUCUGGACGAAAACUGACGCUGAGGCGCGAAAGCCAGGGGAGCGAACGGGAUUAGAUACCCCGGUAGUCCUGGCCGUAAACGAUGGGUACUAGGUGUAGGAGGUAUCGACCCCUUCUGUGCCGGAGUUAACGCAAUAAGUACCCCGCCUGGGGAGUACGACCGCAAGGUUGAAACUCAAAGGAAUUGACGGGGGCCCGCACAAG
rnacentral:rRNA from 1 species